UGAUUGCUGUAACCAGAACCGCUGUCCUCACAGAUUCCCAUGACAUCUGGAUUCACGCAUCCCGAGUGAAGCUGUGUCCAAAGAGGGGAACCAAGGAAGACAACACCACUCCUCGCUCGGAAACAGAAGAAUUUCUCCUCAGCGAAGCAUCAUGGCUUUUACACCAUAUCGUAGAUUGAGAGGAUCAUACGUACCUGAGACCAAGAUUAUGUUGUGCGCUAUGCUUUCUGGAGUUGUUAUACUCCCUCUGAUAUUGUUCCUUGAAUGCCAUUAUGAGUACAAGUCAAUGGCAAGUUUGAAACCUGUUUGUUUCUGAAAAAAGACUCUGACAUGAUGAACAAUUCUUCAAUACCCCCAGCCCAAUUAGGCCUUAGCCCCUCAUCUAGCAUUCGUCACACACGCCCCCUCAAGAACCUUUCUCCACCACCUUUCUAUCAGCAUGCAAUAUGCAAUCAUUCAUUCACUGAACGCAUUUGGAUGAAUUGGACAAAUAGUAACCCUUAUAAGUACCAGUUACCCAUAUGAAAUGUGUCUACAGCUAAUGAAACCGAUGCAUUAUGUUUGUUUAAAGGUUCACAGAAAAUUGUUAGAUCUUAUAACGCAGAAAUGUGCACAGUUAAGGUUGCAUAUCAAUGUAAAUAGACAGGCCUUAUUACUUUUAAUAAUGAUUAUAUAACUGGUAUCAUUAAUUGGAAAAAGGGGCCAAAUGUUAGUCAUUAUGAACGACACUGCAAUUGAGAACUAUACACUACCUUAUAUUUUUACACCUUAUUACUGUCCUUCAUCCACUAUCAUAGAACCAAAAGUCAAACACGACACACACACACCUAUUCCGUCCACAUGUGUUAAUACAACUGCCUUCUUACAAGCUGUACAUGUGUCAUUAAAAGUCACUACUCUUGUUGUAACAUUAUGUAAUACAACAAACAAAGGCAGAAAAGGGAAUGGUAUGACACACUGUUAGAUGGUGCUGGAACCACUAUGGGUAUACUAAAUAGUUAUAGAUAUGGAGACCCUCAAGAAUAAGUUAAACACAGCCAGCAUGCAUAUAGGGACUGGUUUCCAUGCUACUGCAAAUUGGGCUCCAAUUGUUGUUAAAUCACAGGUUAUAGGAUUGGAUUUAGAUAAAUCAAUGUAUAAUUAUUUAGAUAAUUUAACUGUUGCAACUAUGAAAUUCACUACAGAUCUAAGUAACUGGAGUACUUGUGCCAUCAGGUAUUUAUGGAUACAACAACAAGGAUUGGCAUUAGAAAACACACUAAUGAUUCCCAAACUAGAGAAGAUUAGAGGAAAGCGUAACCUCACAGAUAAUGAAUGGUUACUUCUAAAACCCCAAUCCAGUAAAUGCAAUGGAUGGUUAACUGGUAAUGUUUCACAUUUUUCAUGCUCAUGCUAUUUUACAUUAUAUCAUACAACAUCAAAGGAUGUUAAAUUAGCUUGUCAAUUUAACACAUUACCAGUACCAGUUUAUGAUCUUUUUGCCAAGAAUUUAACCUGGUGGGCACCCACAUACACAGGGGACUAUAUUUUUCCCAAAGAUAACACACAC
rnacentral:lncRNA from 1 species